rnacentral:rRNA from 1 species
AGUGAACGCUGGCGGCAGGCCUAACACAUGCAAGUCGAGCGGCAGCGGGUCCUUCGGGAUGCCGGCGAGCGGCAGACGGGUGAGGAAUACAUCGGAAUCUGCCCUGUCGUGGGGGAUAACCUAGGGAAACUUAGGCUAAUACCGCAUACGACCUACGGGUGAAAGCGGGGGAUCGCAAGACCUCGCGCGACAGGAUGAGCCGAUGUCCGAUUAGCUAGUUGGCGGGGUAAAGGCCCACCAAGGCGACGAUCGGUAGCUGGUCUGAGAGGAUGAUCAGCCACACUGGGACUGAGACACGGCCCAGACUCCUACGGGAGGCAGCAGUGGGGAAUAUUGGACAAUGGGCGCAAGCCUGAUCCAGCCAUGCCGCGUGGGUGAAGAAGGCCUUCGGGUUGUAAAGCCCUUUUGUCCGGGAAGAAAUCGUCUGGGCUAAUACCCCGGGCGGAUGACGGUACCGGAAGAAUAAGCACCGGCUAACUUCGUG